rnacentral:tRNA from 1 species
GCGGGCGUGAUGGAAUGGUAGACAUACCAGACUUAAAAUCUGAGGGCUUAUGCCCGUGGGGGUUCGAGUCCCCCGCCCGCACCA